rnacentral:lncRNA from 1 species
GCCGGAUGGCCUUUUGGUUCCCGGUACGUAGCCCCCUCCUCGACUCGAGUCGUCCGCUCGGGUGCACAGUCUAGACCAUAUACCAAGGUUUUUAACUUAGAAUAACUUGACCUCAUGCCGGAUCUUUAGUAGGAACACUUAUUUGCAUUAUGCAUUUGACUUAGGGGACUCAACACAGGUGUGACGAGACCGUAACUCAAACACGACGAUCUGUCCGGCCUAGCGAACUUUCAAUGCCAA